UACAGAGGGUGCGAGCGUUAAUCGGAAUUACUGGGCGUAAAGCGCACGUAGGCGGCUCUGCAAGUCGGUUGUGAAAUCCCCGGGCUCAACCUGGGAACUGCGACCGAGACUGCAUUGCUAGAGUAUGGGAGAGGAAAGCGGAAUUUCUGGUGUAGCGGUGAAAUGCGCAGAUAUCAGGAGGAACACCGGUGGCGAAGGCGGGACUCUGGGCCGAUACUGACGCUGAGGAGCGAAAGCGUGGGGAGCGAACAGG
rnacentral:rRNA from 1 species